AUCUACAGGCUUAACACAUGCAAGUCGAGGGGCAGCAUGGUCUUAGCUUGCUAAGACUGAUGGCGACCGGCGCACGGGUGAGUAACACGUAUCCAACCUGCCGUCUACUCUUGGACAGCCUUCUGAAAGGAAGAUUAAUACAAGAUGGCAUCAUGAGUCCGCAUGUUCACAUGAUUAAAGGUAUUCCGGUAGACGAUGGGGAUGCGUUCCAUUAGAUAGUAGGCGGGGUAACGGCCCACCUAGUCUUCGAUGGAUAGGGGUUCUGAGAGGAAGGUCCCCCACAUUGGAACUGAGACACGGUCCAAACUCCUACGGGAGGCAGCAGUGAGGAAUAUUGGUCAAUGGGCGAGAGCCUGAACCAGCCAAGUAGCGUGAAGGAUGACUGCCCUAUGGGUUGUAAACUUCUUUUAUAAAGGAAUAAAGUCGGGUAUGGAUACCCGUUUGCAUGUACUUUAUGAAUAAGGAUCGGCUAACUCCGUGCCAGCAGCCGCGGUAAUACGGAGGAUCCGAGCGUUAUCCGGAUUUAUUGGGUUUAAAGGGAGCGUAGAUGGAUGUUUAAGUCAGUUGUGAAAGUUUGCGGCUCAACCGUAAAAUUGCAGUUGAUACUGGAUAUCUUGAGUGCAGUUGAGGCAGGCGGAAUUCGUGGUGUAGCGGUGAAAUGCUUAGAUAUCACGAAGAACUCCGAUUGCGAAGGCAGCCUGCUAAGCUGCAACUGACAUUGAGGCUCGAAAGUGUGGGUAUCAAACAGGAUUAGAUACCCUGGUAGUCCACACGGUAAACGAUGAAUACUCGCUGUUUGCGAUAUACUGCAAGCGGCCAAGCGAAAGCGUUAAGUAUUCCACCUGGGGAGUACGCCGGCAACGGUGAAACUCAAAGGAAUUGACGGGGGCCCGCACAAGCGGAGGAACAUGUGGUUUAAUUCGAUGAUACGCGAGGAACCUUACCCGGGCUUAAAUUGCAGAUGAAUUACGGUGAAAGCCGUAAGCCGCAAGGCAUCUGUGAAGGUGCUGCAUGGUUGUCGUCAGCUCGUGCCGUGAGGUGUCGGCUUAAGUGCCAUAACGAGCGCAACCCUUGUUGUCAGUUACUAACAGGUUCCGCUGAGGACUCUGACAAGACUGCCAUCGUAAGAUGUGAGGAAGGUGGGGAUGACGUCAAAUCAGCACGGCCCUUACGUCCGGGGCUACACACGUGUUACAAUGGGGGGUACAGAGGGCCGCUACCACGCGAGUGGAUGCCAAUCCCAAAAACCUCUCUCAGUUCGGACUGGAGUCUGCAACCCGACUCCACGAAGCUGGAUUCGCUAGUAAUCGCGCAUCAGCCACGGCGCGGUGAAUACGUUCCCGGGCCUUGUACACACCGCCCGUCAAGCCAUGGGAGCCGGGGGUACCUGAAGUGCGUAACCGCGAGGAGCGCCCUAGGGUAAAACUGGUGACUGGGGCUA
rnacentral:rRNA from 1 species